rnacentral:rRNA from 1 species
UCAGAUUGAACGCUGGCGGCGUGCUUAACACAUGCAAGUCGUGCGAGAAAGGGGACUUCGGUCCCUGAGUAGAGCGGCGCACGGGUGAGUAACGCGUGGAUAAUCUACCCAGACGUUCGGGAUAACGGCGGGAAACUGCCGCUAAUACCGGAUACGAUCCAAUUUCGGUUGGGUGAAAGGCGGCCUCUGCUUGCAAGCUGUCGCAUCUGGAUGAGUCCGCGUCCCAUUAGCUUGUUGGUGGGGUAAUGGCCUACCAAGGCUACGAUGGGUAACUGGUCUGAGAGGAUGAUCAGUCACACUGGAACUGAAACACGGUCCAGACUCCUACGGGAGGCAGCAGUGGGGAAUAUUGCGCAAUGGGGGAAACCCUGACGCAGCGACGCCGUGUGAGGGAAGAAGGCUUUCGGGUCGUAAACCUCUGUCGGGAGGGAAGAACCUUCCAGGCCUGAACAAGUCCUGGAACUGACGGUACCUCCAAAGGAAGCACCGGCUAACUCCGUGCCAGCAGCCGCGGUAAUACGGAGGGUACAAGCGUUAAUCGGAAUCACUGGGCGUAAAGCGCGCGUAGGCGGUCUUUUAAGUCGGACGUGAAAGCCCUCGGCUCAACCGGGGAACUGCGUUCGAAACUGGGAGACUUGAGUCCUGGAGAGGGUGGCGGAAUUCCGGGUGUAGGAGUGAAAUCCGUAGAUAUCCGGAGGAACACCGGUGGCGAAGGCGGCCACCUGGACAGGUACUGA